UUAUUGGAGAGUUUGAUCCUGGCUCAGGAUGAACGCUGGCGGCGUGCCUAAUACAUGCAAGUCGAGCG
rnacentral:rRNA from 4 species